GAUGAACGCUAGCGGGAGGCUUAAUACAUGCAAGUCGAGGGGUAACAUGAGAGCUUGCUCUUGAUGACGACCGGCGCACGGGUGAGUAACGCGUACACAACCUACCUCUAAGUGGGGAAUAGCCUUUGGAAACGAAGAGUAAUACCCCAUAGCAUUAUUUCUUUUUAUGAUGAAAUAAUUAAAGCUCCGGCGCUUAGAGAUGGGUGUGCGUCCCAUUAGCUUGUUGGUAAGGUAACGGCUUACCAAGGCGACGAUGGGUAGGGGGCGUGAGAGCGUGACCCCCCACACGGGUACUGAGACACGGACCCGACUCCUACGGGAGGCAGCAGUAAGGAAUAUUGGACAAUGGGCGAAAGCCUGAUCCAGCCAUCCCGCGUGCAGGAUGACGGCCCUAUGGGUUGUAAACUGCUUUUAGAUAGGAAGAAACCCCCAUUCGUGAGUGGGGCUGACGGUACUAUCAGAAUAAGCACCGGCUAACUCCGUGCCAGCAGCCGCGGUAAU
rnacentral:rRNA from 1 species